CGGCUUGUUGGCAACAAGAUGUGAGAUUUUCGCGUGUGUAUGGCAAGUCCGAUACAGUGAUGAUAUCGCUAACAUACGUUCAUGAUGAUGAUGUCGACAGUUUGGAACAAGUUGUGUUGAUAUUAUCAGACUUGUUGCAAGAUUGUUCCAACAAGUGUGAUACAGUCAUGAUAUAAGAAUAUUGUUACAACCUUGCGUCGUCAACCUUGUAACAUUCUUGUUAUAUCAUGACGUUAGAACAACC